AUUGAACGCUGGCGGCAUGCUUUACACAUGCAAGUCGAGCGGCAGCGCGGGGGCAACCCUGGCGGCGAGCGGCGAACGGGUGAGUAAUUCAUCGGAACGUAUCCUCCUGUGUGGGAUAACCCAGCGACAGUUGGGCUAAUACCGCAUGAGCUCUGAGGAGGAAAGCGGGGGACCUGCGAGGCCCUCGCCCUGGAGGAGCUGCCGAUGUCCGAUUAGCUAGUUGGUGGGGUAAAGGCUUACCAAGGCGACGAUCGGUAGCUGGUCUGAGAGGAUGAUCAGCCACACUGGAACUGAGACACGGCCCAGACUCCUACGGGAGGCAGCAGUGGGGAAUAUUGGACAAUGGGGGCAAGCCUGAUCCAGCCAUGCCGCGUGAGUGAAGAAGGCCUUCGGGUUGUAAAGCUCUUUUGUACGGAACGAAAAGGGGGGGACUAAUACUCCUGUGUGAUGACGGUACCGAAAGAAGAAGCACCGGCUAACUACGUG
rnacentral:rRNA from 1 species